GCAGCCAAGUUUAGGAACUUUUCAUUUUCUAUGUGGUUGGUGUUUUCUCUAUUUCUCUAUCUCCUAAAGCCAUAGUCUUUGGUUCUUAACUUUUUGUUGUGCAGCCUCUGUCCAAGCAUUGGGCCACAUUGCACACGUUAUUUUCUUUAAUGAUUUUAAUCACUACAAGUAUGGGGCAUUGUGUGAUGGAUGGAUAGAGUUCCUGGAGUUCUUUAAGUCAGAGAUGUAGUAUGGGUAAGGACGGUUGAGCAAAGACAGUUAAGAGAAGGAGUUUUAUUAAAUGUCCCAAAGAUGGAGUAACUUGCUGCAAAGCGAUGCAGAGAAACAUGAAUUGAGGAGGCGGUAAUGGAUCAUAAGAUUGCUGGUGCCCCAAAUAUUCUAACCUGGACCAGAAGGAUCUCACCUCAUUGGCUGCACAGUUGACAACUUCAAGUGCAAGGCAAAUUGGGACUUGCUCUGUUGAGAUGGCUUUUAAGACUUUCACAACAAAGAACCUCUUUCGGUGUGCUGUUAUCUCUACAUAGCAUGGUAUUAGUCAUCCUUGAAGUAGUCUUUCAAUUCUACGUAUGGCUGCUUAGGAAACCACAAUAUUCCAAGCCAUGGGCAAUUACAUAUCUGAGCCUUGAACGCUUACAUUUUGUGUAGAGGCUAGGUGUGUGUUCAUGUUAUAGUAUCAAUUUCCCAACAAUCUUUCUACAUUAGCAUAAAAUGUAGCAAUCACAUAUCAUAGAAAGGGCCCUAUGUUAGUUGGGGUCCCUUUCAUCAUGGCCUUUAUCAUCAACUGCCUUCCUCUAUGCUUGGCAACAUUACUCCACAUUGGUGCCUAUUUGGAUUGCCACCUAUAGUGGCUGGUGAUUUGCUGAUCAAAGAGCAGAUUUUGGAGAGAUUAUUCAUCAAUCUAGUGGUUGGUGAAUCACUAAUCAAAGAAUAUUAUUAAGUAGCUAUCCUUGUGGAGAAGUAUUAGUUAUCUUCGACAGUUUUGCUACAUAUAUGAGGACAGUUGAAUGUAUCUUUUCAUUUCAUCAGGAAAGUUGAAUUUCCAAUUUUCAGCAUGUUGAGUACUGCAUCGAAUAUUUCAUUUCUUCUU